rnacentral:rRNA from 1 species
UAUAGAGUUUUCUAAACUCCCAACCCAUGUGAACUUACCUUUUGUUGCCUCGGCAGAAGUUAUAGGUCUUCUUAUAGCUGCUGCCGGUGGACCAUUAAACUCUUGUUAUUUUAUGUAAUCUGAGCGUCUUAUUUUAAUAAGUCAAAACUUUCAACAACGGAUCUCUUGGUUCUGGCAUCGAUGAAGAACGCAGCGAAAUGCGAUAAGUAAUGUGAAUUGCAGAAUUCAGUGAAUCAUCGAAUCUUUGAACGCACAUUGCGCCCAUUAGUAUUCUAGUGGGCAUGCCUGUUCGAGCGUCAUUUCAACCCUUAAGCCUAGCUUAGUGUUGGGAAUCUACUUCUCUUAGGAGUUGUAGUUCCUGAAAUACAACGGCGGAUUUGUAGUAUCCUCUGAGCGUAGUAAUUUUUUUCUCGCUUUUGUUAGGUGCUAUAACUCCCAGCCGCUAAACCCCCAAUUUUUUGUGGUUGACCUCGGAUCAGGUAGGAAUACCCGCUGAACUUAAGCAUAUCAAUAAGCGGAGGAAAAGAAACCAACAGGGAUUGCCUUAGUAACGGCGAGUGAAGCGGCAACAGCUCAAAUUUGAAAUCUGGCCCUUGGGUCCGAAUUGUAAUUUGUAGAGGAUGAUUUUGGUGCGGUAUCUUCCGAGUUCCUUGGAACAGGACGCCUUAGAGGGUGAGAGCCCCGUACGGUUGAAUGCCUAGCCUCUGUAAAUCUCCUUCGACGAGUCGAGUAGUUUGGGAAUGCUGCUCUAAAUGGGGAGGUAAAUUCUUCUAAAGCUAAAUAU